UGACUGUAGGUGAAAGACUUACAUCUCUUCGGAGCAUUUUACGAGGUGCUGCAUGGUUGUCGUCAGCUCGUGCCGUGAGGUGUCGGGUUAAGUCCCAUAACGAGCGCAACCCCUACCUUUAGUUGCCAUCAGGUUAAGCUGGGGACUCUAAAGGAACUGCCUACGCAAGUAGUGAGGAAGGCGGGGAUGACGUCAAAUCAGCACGGCCCUUACGUCCAGGGCUACACACGUGCUACAAUGGCCGAUACAGAGGGCAGCUACCUGGUGACAGGAUGCAAAUCUCCAAAGUCGGUCUCAGUUCGGAUCGGAGUCUGCAACCCGACUCCGUGAAGUUGGAUUCGCUAGUAAUCGCGCAUCAGCCAUGGCGCGGUGAAUACGUUCCCGGGCUUU
rnacentral:rRNA from 1 species